rnacentral:rRNA from 1 species
AUUGAACGCUGGCGGCAUGCCUCACACAUGCAAGUCGAACGGUAACAGGUCUUCGGAUGCUGACGAGUGGCGAACGGGUGAGUAAUACAUCGGAACGUGCCUAGUAGUGGGGGAUAACUACUCGAAAGAGUGGCUAAUACCGCAUGAGAUCUACGGAUGAAAGCAGGGGAUCGCAAGACCUUGUGCUACUAGAGCGGCCGAUGGCAGAUUAGGUAGUUGGUGGGAUAAAAGCUUACCAAGCCGACGAUCUGUAGCUGGUCUGAGAGGACGAUCAGCCACACUGGGACUGAGACACGGCCCAGACUCCUACGGGAGGCAGCAGUGGGGAAUUUUGGACAAUGGGCGCAAGCCUGAUCCAGCAAUGCCGCGUGCAGGAUGAAGGCCUUCGGGUUGUAAACUGCUUUUGUACGGAACGAAAAGCCCUGGGUUAAUACCCUGGGGUCAUGACGGUACCGUAGGAAUAAGCACCGGCUAACUACGUGCCAGCAGCCGCGGUAA